UCUGUUAAUUUACAUUUAGCUUCUUAUCUCUGAUAUGUUUCUUCGUGAAACUAUUGUCAGAGGAUUAAGAUGUCAGUGUUAUUACGUAUAAUGUGUGGUAUAGCAAUUAUGAAUUGCAUCUGUGAAGGAAAUGCGUUAUUAAGCGAUGAAUCAGACGAUUUGGUUUGUCUGAAUGGAGCAGUUCAUCUUGAUGGGGCGUGUUACAAGUUUUUCCAGGAUAGGAAAAACUGGAGCGAAUCAAGUGAAUACUGCAAUCAGGAAUUUAGAGGACACGUUGCCAUUGUGAAAACAUCCGCUGUGUUUAAUUAUAUAAAAUCAAUCGUUAUUCAACAAAAUAUAGAGUUCACUUGGUUGGGAGCAACAGAUAACGACAGCGACGGUGUUUUUCAGUGGGUGGACGGAAGAGCUUGUUGUCCGAACUGGUGGAUACCUGGUCAACCGUCAAAACUUUCUUAUCCAGAGAAAUGUUUCGGAAUAUGGAAGAACCAUGAUGGUUUAAUAGGCACUGAUAAUAAUAUAUGCAGGGAACGAAACGCUUUUGUUUGCCAAAAUAAAGGCUGUCUCAACGUCCCAAAUUGCCGCCGCCAAAGUUGUAGCAAUAUAUCGUUUACCACAUGUAGUGAGUGUGAAAUUGGUUAUAUAUUAAUUUAGUGGCAAAUGGACCAUACAAUUUCGAAUGCAAAGCUCAGGUACCGAACACUUCUCCGCUACCUUCGUCACCAAUCUAUUUAUCCAAUCAAACAGGCGAUAAAACAUGGUGUUUUCGUUGCGAUGGCAUGACCCAUUUACAGUUUUGUGAUCGAGUGGAA
rnacentral:misc_RNA from 1 species